GUGUGUGUGUGUGCAUGCACGUGUGUACACCCAUGCCCGCACAUGUGCAGAGAAAUAGAAAAAAUACAUAGCUGUGGCUUGUACCUUCUGCACUCUUUAGGGAGUCUGUAGUUGAAUAUUACAUGUCAUUAAGUAAAAACUCAUUAUCUGAACACUGUCACAAAGCAUUUUAGAUACACUGAGUCUACAUUUACAGACUUUUCCAGCACAGGGUGAUAGGGGAGAAGUAAAGACGAUAGCAGUGGUAGGAAUGGAAAUAAAUAAUUUUAAAUAUAAUUUCAUAAAUAAGAUUUUAUUUGCCAUUUGGAUAAGCCUUGCAAGCUAAGCCCAGUUUUAAGAUUUUUUCUUUUUUAAUUUUAGUUGUAGUUGGACACAGUACCUUUAUUUUAUUUAUUUUUUUUAAUAUGGUGCUGAGGAUCAAACCCAGCACCUUGCAUGUGCUAGGCGAGUGCUCUGCUGCUGAGCCACAACCCCAGCCCCCAAGUUUUAAUCUUUGUACAUCUAUCAUCUCAUUCUUUGCAUAGCCCUGUAAAGCAGGUAUCAUUAUUAUACCCAUUUUAUAUUACAGAAAAACAAAGCACAGAGCUUGCCCAAAUGCAAUUAGUAUAUAUGCUUAUUUCAGAUCCUUCGAUAAAUGAAUGAUAAUCUACACUAAGCCAAAAAAAUUAUAUAUCACUCAUUACAUUGCAUUUGACUGAUAGAAUUAAAGCACACCUGAGAGAUAAAAGUUCAUUUUCCCUUCUUAUUUUAUUCAAAAUUUGUUCCCAUUAUAUAAGUAAUUUUAGUUAUUAAAGUUUAAAAGUAGAAGAUCUGAUAUAUUAAAAUCAAAGUAAGAACUUAAUGAAAAUCCUUUGUUUUCUCAUGUAGAGCUGUGUUAUAUGGGUCAACUACACUUAAGAAAGCUAUUAAUAGUGUGUGAUUUUAAAAUUUAUUUUUAUAUUUAUUUGGCCAGCAAAUAGUUUCCUAGAAUUUUCUAUGUGUCUCAUCUCUCUCACCUUUCAAUUUUACCCACAAACCAUCCCCUUAGUAUGGCUUCUGCACACACUAAAUUCAAAUGCAUAUCCAGAGAACUUUAACCAAAACUCUGAGGGGAAAAGAAUAAAACCAAACAAAACAUAAGGACAUUUGAGACCUCCAUUAAACCAAUCCUCAGCACACAUCUUGGAUAUCCUAUUUCUGUAACCUCCGUGGAUCUCGGAUGAUAAUGAUGCACAGUCGCCAGCAGCAUCAUUAACACUAGCAACGCUGAACCUCAGUUUUAAUAAAAAUGCAAAGUGUAAACCCACUUAAAGUGGCUACUUUCUUAAGCAAUGCCAGAAACACUUAGUUCCUGUUGCUGAACAGACUGUGAGCAAACUGCUGCCAAAGGAGGUCAGCUCAGAUAUGUGCCUGCCCGUUCAAGCUGCCAAAAACUAUUAGAAAAUGUUUAUAACAAUGAGUUGUACAUUUAAGGUUUUAACUCUCAUGAAAAACUAAC
rnacentral:lncRNA from 1 species